GCUUUAUCUUACAUUUUAGAAAAUGAAGAGCUUAGGUAGAUGAGUCCCUGAAGUUUAUACCUACGCGGAGGGGUUUUAAAAGGAACGGGAACGUAUCGAAGAUGAGAUAGAUCGAUAUUUUACAGAAAGAAUACAAUUUGAUAACGACUUUGACGCAAUUCAAUGGUGGAAGCAACAUAAAGCUAACUUUCCAAGCAUAUCAAAACUUGCACUUAAAAUAUUAACUAUACCUGCAAGUAGUGCGGCGUCUGAACGUGUAUUUUCCUUGGCAGGCAAUUUAAUAACUGAUAAAAGAAAUCGACUUGCACCCAAAACCGUAGAUAAAAUAAUAUUCCUGAAUUCAAUAUUUAAGACUAACUAAUAUGGCAAUAAGACCUUAGAAACUUAAAAAACAAAAAUAUACAAUGAUAUUGAGAAGUAAUUUUGUGCAAUACCUCAAUCUUAAUAUAUAUUUAGAAGCUAUACUUAUAAUAUAUACUUGUAUCUUUGGAGUUGAA